UACGAACUGUGCAAACGUUAUUCGGAAUCACUGGGCUUAAAGGGUUCGUAGGCGGCUAUUUAAGUAGGGUGUGAAAGCCCCCGGCUCAACCGGGGAAUUGCGUCCUAAACUGGAUGGCUCGAGUGAGAUAGAGGUGUGUGGAACUUCCGGUGGAGCGGUGAAAUGUGUUGAUAUCGGAAGGAACGCCGGUGGCGAAAGCGACACACUGGGUCGUAACUGACGCUGAGGCACGAAAGCCAGGGGAGCGAACGGG
rnacentral:rRNA from 1 species